GGAUUCAUGCCCGGUUGCAUGGCCGGACUUCAAAUCCGGUUGGGGCAGCGAGCCUGUCCCGGGUGGGUUCGCCCCCUCCGCCA
rnacentral:tRNA from 1 species